rnacentral:lncRNA from 10 species
AUUAUUCUAAAAUAUAAGUCUCAUUAUGUUAUUCUCUACUCAAAACAAUCUUACUUCCUAUCUCUGUCAGAAUGAAAUUCACUCUUUAACAUAACUUACAACACCCUAUUUAUUCCAGAAGCGCUGGAAUUAUCUGGUAAGAGCAUAGGCUCUGACAGCAGACAACAGCAUUGUAUCCACUCUGCCAUUUAUUAGUUCUGGACACUUGGGUCAUAUAUUUUAACCUCAAAUGUGCCUGUGCCUCAGUUUACUCUACUGUAAAAUGGGCAUAAGUAUCUGUCCUAUAAGGAUGUUGUGGCUUUGCAGUUUAUGGGAUCUAUUAGGAAGAUGCUCCCAGAGGGGUCAAAUGUUCCCAGCAGUGGCAUGGCAGAGCACCAAUGAUGGCAGAUGCUCAGAUAUGGCUGGGCUCGGUGGCUCACGCCUGUAAUCCCAGCACUUUGGGAGGCCAAGGCGGGCAGAUCAUGAGGUCAGGAGUUCGAGACCAGCCUGGCCAACAUAGUGAAACCCCGUCUCUACUAAAAAUACAAAAAAUUAGCCAGGCUUGGUGGCGGGCGCCUGUAAUCCUAGCUACUCGAGAGGCUGAGGCAGGAGAAUCGCUUGAACCAGAGAGGCAGAGGUUGCAGCGAGCGGAGAUCGCACCACUGCACACCACCCCGGGUGACAGAGCGAGACUCCAUCUCAAAAAAAAAAAAAAAAAACCAUAACCCAAGACAUUAAUGUUAUUAAUUAAAACACUGCCAGUAUCUAAAGGCAUCUUAAUUGGCAUU